rnacentral:tRNA from 1 species
GCGGGUAUAGCUCAGUGGUAGAGCAUCUCGUUGCCAACGAGAAUGCCGCGUGUUCGAGUCACGUUACCCGCC